AAAAUAUUAAAAGAACAAGAGAGUAAACUUAUGACUUGGAUUGUGACAUUGGUAGCAAGAGAGUUUUGUAACAAUUGGAUGAUUUUAGAAAGAAAUUCAUGACAGUCAAUUCUUACUUUGGAUACUUUGGAAAGACUAUUGGUGACGAGGGUGGGUACAAGGAAAAGUAGAAGAAAUAUAUAUUGUUUGACAAUGAAUUUAGUGUUUUAUUUUAUUUGUAAUUUUUAUUAGAGUAAAUGAUUAUUUUUUUAGUGGUUAAUUAUUUACUUUGUAAAUCUAGUUAUAUAUUUUUUAAGGUCAAGAAGACUAUGUUUAUAGACAAGGCUAUAUGAUUUUUGAGUCAAGUAGUAGUGUUAUAUUUGUCCAAAAUUUGUUUUAUUUGAUUUGUAAAUACUUUGUACAAGUUUUGUUAUUUUAAUCUAUAAUUUUUUAGAUUU